rnacentral:tRNA from 1 species
UCAAUUUCAAAGCGUUUAAGAAACAGGUAAAAGGUGUUUAAGAAACAUAUCUGUUUCUUAAACAUAUCUUUUUGUUUUCUUUUGUUUGUCCCGAGGAAGGUUUUUACCGAUUUACUCCUGAGGGCUUGUAGCUCAGUUGGUUAGAGCGCGCGCUUGAUAAGCGUGAGGUCGGAGGUUCAAGUCCUCCCAGGCCCACCAAUUUAUGAUUGCUGAUAAGUUUGCUGAUAAGUUUUUUGUGAAUGUUUUGAUGGUUUUUUAUCUUACAAUCUUUCACUUUUAUGUUGCAAUCUUUCAAAAGUAUUUGAACUGUUUUAGGGGCCGUAGCUCAGCUGGGAGAGCACCUGCUUUGCAAGCAGGGGGUCGUCGGUUCGAUCCCGUCCGGCUCCACCAUCUUUGGUUAUCAUCAUCGUUAAAGAACAAUGUUUUGCAAUAGAUCUGUAGAUCUUAAGUCUAUCAUCUAUUGCCUGUUCUAUUGAAAUUGUGAAGAGAAGAUAUAUUCAGACAUUACUGUUUUAUUCAGCUAUUGUUGUUUUAUUGUUGCUUUUAAUGUUUAAGUCUCUCCUUUAAGGAAUGACAAAAAGCUUAAAAAC